rnacentral:rRNA from 1 species
GACGAACGCUGGCGGCGUGCUUAACACAUGCAAGUUGAACGAAGUGGCGAACGGGUGAGUAACGCGUACUCAACCUGCCCUUCAGAGGGGGACAACAGUUGGAAACGACUGCUAAUACCGCAUACUGAAGGCGGGGCUUGCGUCUGAUUAGCUAGUUGGAGUGGUAACGGCCCACCAAGGCGAUGAUCGGUAGCCGGUCUGAGAGGAUGAACGGCCACAUUGGGACUGAGACACGGCCCAGACUCGUACGGGGGGCAGCAGUGGGGAAUCUGCCGCAAUGGACGAAAGUCUGACGGAGCAACGCCGCGUGAGUGAUGAUGGCCUUCGGGUUGUAAAGCUCUGUUAAUCGGGACGCGGUACCGGAAUAGAAAGCCACGGCUAACUACGUGCCAGCCGCCGCGGUAAUUC